ACCAGUGUGGCAUAGUGGUUUGAGUGUUGGACUACAACUGUGGAGACUAGGGUUCAAAUCCCACCUCAGUCA